AAUUUUGGACAAUGGGCGCAAGCCUGAUCCAGCCAUGCCGCGUGAGGGAAGAAGGCCUUCGGGUGGCAAAGCUCUUUUGGACGGAAAGAAAUCGCGCAGGCUAAGACCCUUCGCGGAUGCCGGGACCGUCAUAAGAAGCACCGGCUAACUACGGGCCAGCAUCGGCGGUAAUACGUAGGGUGCGUGCGUCAAUCCGAAUUACUGGGCGUAAAGCGUGCGCAGGUGGUUGAUUAAGACAGGCGUAAAAUCCCCGGGCUUAGCCUGGGAACUGCGCUUGUGACUGGUCAGCUAGAGUACGGCAGAGGGGGGUGGAAUUCCACGUGUAGCAGUGAAAUGCGUAGAGAUGUGGAGGAACACCGAUGGCGGAGGCAGCCCCCUGGGCCGAUACUGACGCUCAUGCACGAAAGCGUGGGUAGCAAACAGG
rnacentral:rRNA from 1 species